GCGGCUGAAGGAAGGCGAGGCUGCUGAUGAAGAGCUGAAGAAGCUGAAGAAAGAAACAAAGAAAAAGGUUUCCUCCAAAGAUGCUAACGCAAAACCUAGUUCUAAAAAGAAACAGGGUAGCUCCGACGAGGAUCGUGCUUCACCACCUAGAAGCCAUGUUAAUGUGAAAGAAGAGGAGGAUGAAGAUGACGAUGACGACGUCCAGUGGCAGACUGAUACAUCUCUGGAAGCUGCUAAGCAGCGUAUACAAGAACAGCUAAAUGCUGCGACUGCUGAAAUGGUUAUGCUGUCCACAGUUGAGUCAGAGAAGAAGUCCAAGGCCCCAAGUCCAAAAGCUGCUUCUGUGACAACAGAGAUUUCCAAGACCGAAAAUGGAGUGUCAAACCAUGAGAGGCUCGUUAGAGAAAUAAAAGCAAAUCUAGCAAAGGGAGUUACUGCUUGUAAAUUGCAAUCCUUUUUGGGUUCACUCGCUGGAUCUCCGCAGGAAGUUAUUACUGCUUUUUAUGAAGCACUUUUGGAUGGCAUUGAGAAAGGAUUUGCCAAGGAGGUUAUUAAGAAGAAAAGCUACCUUGCUGCCAUUGCUCAAGACGAGGAGUCUCAACUACGAUUGCUUCAAGCUAUAGAAGAGUUUUCUGGGAAAUCUAACUCAGUUGCACUGAAGGAAGUGGCUCUGGUUUUGAAAGCUUUGUAUGACGAUGAUCUGUUGGAAGAGGAAUAUAUAGUACAGUGGUACAACAAGGGUGUUGGUGCGAACAAGGACUCCAAAAUUUGGAAGAACGUCAAACCCUUUGUUGAAUGGCUACAGAGUGCUGAGUCCGAGUCCGAAGAGGAAUGAGAUCGAAUUGCUGUUUGGUGUGCUUUAGUUUGCUUUUCCUGAGUGAUCACCAUAUUUAAAAUUCAUGUUUUUUCCUUUUUAUGUUUGUGUUGUUUGUUUGCCUUUGGUGCAGACUCGUAUUGGGUGCCUUCAAGUGUCUUUUACGUGAGCAGAACUUUUAAUUAUCAUGUUUUGGUGUUGAGUCAUACACUCAAACCUUGUCUUGCUGUUACAUUUUAUAUGUCAUAUUCUUAUAUUAUGGGAAAAUAAUAAUCCUUGAGUUUAAAAAUGUUGAGCUUAAUAUCAAUCAACAAGUGUGCAUAUGCAAGUAAGCCAUUCAUUGAAUGGCCAGCCGCCAAAUGUGUUGGGUAGACAAUAUCAUAUAGUUAAUUGUUUUUAUAAUAUUUUUGUGUCCACUUGAAAAAAUGGUUUUGUGUCACUUUGAUGACCAGACAAUCCAUACAGUUUAAACUUUAAAGUGGUGAACACAAAAGUACUUCAACAUUCAGUCUUUAGCUGACGUUUUUUACAAAAUAUCAAGUUUGUAUCAAUGUGCAUAAAAAAAAUGGUUUGGGCAACCAGAAUUUGAACUGAACAUAACGACGACAUAACUCAUAACAAAAAUUGUUACUACAAUGUACCAUAUGCAAAUUGUAAGAUUAGAAAUUAAAAAUCAAAGAAAAAAGACUUGCAAUUAUACAAUUUGUUAUUUAAUAAGAACUAACUAAAAUUUCUAACUUCAAAUUAAUCUAUUUCAAAUUAUUUUCAAACAAGCAUAAUACAUAAACAUACUAUUUAAUUUAACUUUAGUUGAUAACUAUAUUUUUAACUUUUACCGUGCACAAAUAGAUCAUUAAAAUUAUAUACAGUUAAACAACUAGACAAACAUUCAAAAUGACAAUUCGUGUGAUACUUCAUCCUACAUGACAGAACACGUGCAUUUAUUUGUUCAAUUUCAUUGUGCACACUCCAAAUUAGAGGGUACGGUUAUUAGCCGAAUCCAAGUUAAAGGGUGUUUAUGUCUUUUGCUUUUUCUAAACUCUUCUGUCACAAUUUUUCUUUCAAACCCUGUGUCUAAAAUUAUAAAUCAAGGAAACUUCUAGGCAGGGUUCUCCUCUAUCACCACUUCCCUAUCCUUUAUUAGUAAACCCUAUUUUACGUUUCUCUUCAAUUGCUCUCUUCAUCGUAUUGCAGAUUGCUCUGCUUCGUCCGAUCUAUAAGGUAUCUUUUAUUGCUUUUUUGUUCUUAUUUUCAUCUUAUUCUAUGCUUUAUCAAUUGACUAACGGAAUUUUGAAGUUGUUGAAUCAAUGUUCAUUGCGUAUUUAAUUACGUUAUACAACUGUUCAUCGUCGUCCUGAUCUAUUUCGUUUUAGUGUUUUUUUCUCUCGAUCUAUUAUUUGAUUUGAUUGAUAAUAUAUUUACUGAUCUGAAUGAGAUUAUCAGGCGUAUGUUUUUAGAGAAUUUUGUAGCUUUAGGGGAGUACUAAUAAGACUUAUUUUGUGAAUCGGAGAGGAAAUAGGAGAAAUAGAGCGGAACGGGGAUAGGUAGUUCAUAUAUCAGAUUACAAAUAAAUUGGCAUUGAUUGAAUUAAUUUUGUAUGUUUUAAUCUCUAUUAAACGUUGACUGAUUUUUUAAGUCGGAGUAGAUUGUGAAAGAACAGGUUAUUUUGAAAGUUUUUGCCUGUAUAUGUGGUGUUCUUUAUUUGUCAAAAGUGAGCUGAAUGGCUCUGCAACUUGAUAGUCAAAUUAGAGCGGAAUGGAUAUAGAUAGCUCAUAUGUCAAACUCCAAAUAAUUUGGUAUUGCUUGAAUGGAUUUUGUACGUUUUAAUCUGAACAAAACAGACACUGAUUUCUGUAGUCUAACUGGAUUGUCAAAUGAUAGCUUAUCUGAUAGUAGUUGGCCUAUAUUUGUAUGGCUCCCUUUUUGUCAGAAGUGAGCUGAACAGUGUUAUAUAGAUAGCUCAUAUGUCAAAUUCCAAAUAAUUUGGUAUUGAUUGAAUGGAUUUUGUACGUAUUAAUCUGAACAAAACAGAUACUGAUUUCUUUAGUCUAACUGAAUUGUCAAAUGAUGGCUUAUCUGAUAGUAGUUGGCCUAUAUUUGUAUGGUUCCCUUUUUGUCAGAAGUGAGCCGAACAGUGUUAUUAAAAGCAAGCGCGUUAAGUGAAGCUGUAUCGCUUUUUUUUUCCCAGUACAGUGAGGCUAUAGUGAAAAAGCGAGCUUCUUCAGUCCCAGAAGUGAGAAGUGAGACUUCAGUAAAAAGUGAGAAAAAACUCAUUUUUCUGCUUAAGCGAGGUUGACAGUAACUAGCUUUUUUUUCUAAAAAAAAGGAAUUGUAGAAACACUUUGCGACUUCUUUCCGAACAUUUCCCACUUUUCACUUCUUCUUCUUUGCUCUGUUUCUCUACUGUGAGCUUGCACUAAGGUUUUCUUUUUCAACUUGUAAUCUGCAACUUUCUUUGUUUUGCAAUAUAAUCUUUCUCUGCGACUGCGCUACAAUAUAGUCUUUUUUUUUGCUCUAUUUUGUAUUUCUUUCUCUGUUAUGCUUUCUUUAUGUCCAUAUUCUGCUUUUUUUUCUCUGAUUUGUAAGGCAUUUGCUAUUCUGUCUCUAUUUUCACCUUUUUUGGUAGCAUGUUGUACUUACUUGAGAAUUGAAAGAUUUUCUUAAUAUGUGAGUUCCUGAUUAUUAUUAAUCCAUGCAUCCUUGAUAAUUUUUACUUUUGUACUAAAUAGUGCUUUAAUUGAAAAAGGGUGGGCGUUGCUUCAUGCUUCUCGCUUUGGUGAAAGCAAGCCUUUGUCGCUUUUUUUCGGCUCACUUUUCAAAACACUGGAGCAGAAUGGCUCUGCAAUUUGAUCCCUCAUAUUUUAUGCAUUUAGAUGGUGAUGGAGUGGAAACACAAAUUAUAACAAGAAUUAUCUAGGCUAUUCAUUUCCUGUUGAAAGAAGUAUUAAGGCUUUGACAUUGGGGAUAAACAUAGUCUAGUUUUUGAAACUAAGCAAUCGUGGGGUUCUUUUUCAUGUUUUUUUAGGUUAUGCAGUUUGAAAGCUUAUAUACACUGAUAAAUGACCCAAGAGAAUGUUGAAAUUCCUGGGCGGAUUAGUUUAUCAUUAUGAUUAUGUACCUUUGUUAUUCCUAUUCAUAGAAAAAGUUCUAUAGAAUGUGUUGAUUUUCAAGCUGCUAUUGCCUAAGGAACUCAUCUUUCAAUCUUAAGGGUAGAACAGUUUAUGACCUGUCAUUAUUAAAAUCAUUACCUUUCAUUUAUUAAUAUGAAUUUAGUGUAGCAACUUUUAGUUUCCUUUCCUGUAUUUGAUUUGUGGUUUGUUUGUUUUUGAAAGUUGCAGGUGGUGUGCCUUCUGUAGAGUUUCGAAGUUGUAUUGGUCUAAGUGAAACUUCUUUUAUGUCCGAACAAGCCAUCUUGUAUUUGGGAUCCAUUGGAUUGCUUGGAGAGUAUUGUCCUACGUCAAAGAAAAAGAACCGUUAUUUCUCAGGUUGGGUUGACUGUAUGCAUCUCAAACCAUUAAAGGAAGAGCAUUACGACUAUUCUGGUUGCUGGAAGGCACAAUCGGCACUUUGCAAUUGUUCUGCUGAAAAAUUCUCUGAACAUACGUAACACUUCAUCCAGAAAUUUCUUACCGAGUCAAAGAUGGCUUUGCAAAACAUAGGUGCCAGCAACAGCGAUGAUGCCUUCUACAGGUAUAAGAUGCCCAGGAUGCUUACCAAGAUUGAGGGCCGUGGAAAUGGUAUCAAGACAAAUGUGGUGAACAUGGUUGAUAUUGCCAAAGCAUUAGCAAGGCCCCCGUCCUACACAACAAAAUAUUUUGGAAAUGAGCUUGGGGCUCAGUCGAAAUUUGAUGAAAAAUCUGGAACUGCCCUUGUCAAUGGAGCUCAUGAAACUCCCAAGCUAGCUGGUCUUCUUGAGAACUUUAUUAAGAAAUAUGUUCAGUGCUAUGGUUGCGGAAACCCUGAAACAGAGGUCAUAAUAACCAAAACUCAGAUGAUCCAACUUAAAUGUGCUGCAUGUGGUUUCCUUUCUGACCUGGACAUGAGGGAUAAGCUGACAACUUUUAUACUUAAGAACCCGCCUGAGGCUAAGAAGGGCUCCAAGGACAAGAAAGCUAUGAGAAGAGCUGAGAAGGAGCGGCUGAAGGAAGGAGAGGCUGCUGAUGAAGAGCUAAAGAAACUGAAGAAAGAAACAAAGAAAAAGGUUUCCUCCAAAGAUGCUAGCACUAAACCUAGUUCUAAAAAGAAACAUGGCGGCUCUGAUGAGGAUCAUGCUUCACCACCUAGAAGCCAUGUUAAUGUGAAAGAAGAGGAAGAAGAAGAUGAUGAUGAUGACGUCCAGUGGCAGACUGAUACAUCGCUGGAAGCUGCUCAGCAGCGUAUACAAGAACAGCUGAAUGCUGCGACUGCUGAAAUGGUUAUGCUGU
rnacentral:lncRNA from 1 species